UACGUAGGGGGCUAGCGUUGUUCGGAAUUACUGGGCGUAAAGCGCACGUAGGCGGAUAUUUAAGUGAGGGGUGAAAUCCCAGGGCUCAACCCUGGAACUGCCUCUCAUACUGGGUAUCUCGAGUUCGAGAGAGGUGAGUGGAAUUGCGAGUGUAGAGGUGAAAUUCGUAGAUAUUCGCGGGAACACCAGUGGCGAAGGCGGCUCACUGGCUCGAUACUGACGCUGAGGUGCGAAAGCGUGGGGAGCAAACAGG
rnacentral:rRNA from 1 species